AAUUAAGAGGAAAUUGCACUAUCUAGUAAGGAAAAUAAUGACUAAGGUGAAGAAUCAUAUAAAAACACUAUAUAUUUAUGUAAUUCCAUCUAUAUGUCACCAUUUCCUCUCAUUGUGAACUAGCACGACUCAAAAAGCGCGGGAAAAAUGCGGUACUUGGCGCGGGCCGUGUUUACAUCACCCAGACCGAGACCCACACUGAUGAAUAAACAAAAUAGAGAAAUAUAUGAAAAAAAUAAUAAACACUCUACAAUAACCGCACAAAUUAUCCCAUGUGGUAGAAAAAGAGAGAAAAAUAAGAGAACUAAUAAAUAAACACCGUGAGAAGCUUAAAAAAAAACAACAACUUGAGACGGCGGUGGUGAUACUGCGAGACACCGGGACACACUUAGACACACUGGGACAUUCUGGGACACUGGUUCAUCCCUAAGCUGUCAAUCUGAGUGUCCGUAAUGGCGAGUGAGGACCCUUACUAUAACAGGCGUCUGCGUGGCACCAGGGUCUAUGAAAUGCGACACAGGAUAGUGUUAAGCAUCAUGGCAGUUGGAGGGCUCAUUGGGACCCUAUACCACUUCCUACCCACAUCCCAGAAGAUCUCCCGCCUGUUGUUGAACCGGGAGAAGAAGGAACCGGACUUUUGGAAGAAAGGAGGUUCAGAAUCCAGUAUGGUCUGAAGGGCACCACUGACAGCCUUAGAGAGGGGAUCAAGACCACUGAAGACCCCAUUGUUGGUGAUGCCUGAGUGCUGGUGGUGGUGGUGGUGGUGGUGGUGUGAUGGGGGUGUGAUCAGAGAGAGAGAGAGAGAGAGAGAAACAGACAGACAGACAGACAAAGAUGAUGUGAGACAGACAGACAGACACAUGCUAAGACAGACAGAAAGACAGACAAACUAAUAUAAUGUAAAUAACAGCGAGACAGACAGACAGACAGACAAAAAUUAUGCGAGACAGACACACAGACAGACAGACACAGGGAUACAUGUAAAUGAUAAUAAUAAUAAUAAUAAUACCAUUUUUUUUAUAUCAUUGUAAAUAACUUCAUUAAUUGAGUUUUCUGAACAAGUCAAUAAAAAAGAUGGAAAAAAAUAUUAGUUUAUAUACAAAAUUCCUCCAUAUUGCUAAGAUACAAAUAUUUAACUUGAAAAUGGAUCUGAUUUGUAUGUUUUUCUUAUUAUGUGUAUGUCUAUACAUUUAUUUACAUGUCUCAUGCAGUGAUGGAUGGACGUGUUAUCUUUUUUGUUAAGAAGAGGAUUUCUCUGUGAUUAUUAUUAUAAGGUGCAAUGUAGUUUUUAAGACCUUAGGUUAGGUUAGAUAAGUUCUAUUUAUUAGUAUAUAUAUUUUUAUUUUCAUUUGUAUGUAUUUAGGACAACUAUGUAUAUAUAAUUUUGUAUGAGGCCCUGUAGAGCACCAUUUACUGGUGGAAUAGAGCCUACAAAACAAAACAAAAACAAUAAACAAUAAAAUGCCUAAAAUAAA